rfam:Danio rerio chromosome 16, GRCz11 reference primary assembly.
UUCAUCCUCAUUUGUAAGUUGCUUUAGAUAAAAGCAUCUGCUAAAUGAAUAAAU